rnacentral:rRNA from 1 species
GACGAACGCUGGCGGCGUGCUUAACACAUGCAAGUCGAGCGGUAAGGCCCUUCGGGGUACACGAGCGGCGAACGGGUGAGUAACACGUGGGUGAUCUGCCUCGCACUUCGGGAUAAGCCUGGGAAACUGGGUCUAAUACCGGAUAUGACCUGYYGUCGCAUGGCGGUGGGUGGAAAGAUUUAUCGGUGCGAGAUGGGCCCGCGGCCUAUCAGCUUGUUGGUGGGGUAAUGGCCUACCAAGGCGACGACGGGUAGCCGGCCUGAGAGGGCGACCGGCCACACUGGGACUGAGACACGGCCCAGACUCCUACGGGAGGCAGCAGUGGGGAAUAUUGCACAAUGGGCGAAAGCCUGAUGCAGCGACGCCGCGUGAGGGAUGACGGCCUUCGGGUUGUAAACCUCUUUCGACAGGGACGAAGCGCAAGUGACGGUACCUGUAGAAGAAGCACCGGCCAACUACGUG